GAAAUGCGAUAAGCAAUGUGAAUUGCAGAAUUCAGUGAAUCAUCGAAUCUGUGAACGCACCUUGCGCUCCUUGGUAUUCCUUGGAGCAUGCCUGUUUGAGUAUCAUGAAAUCUUCAAAGUAAAUCUUUUGUUAACUCAAUUGGUUUCUACUUUGGUAUUGGAGGUCUUUGCAGCUUCACACCUGCUCCUCUUUGUUCAUUAGCUGGAUCUCAGUGUUAUGCUUGGUUCCACUCGGCGUGAUAAGUUAUCUAUCGCUGAGGACACUGUAAAAGGUGGCCAAGGUAAAUGCAGAUGAACCGCUUCUAAUAGUCCAUUGACUUGAACAAUACUUUUAUGAUCUGAUCUCAAAUCAGGUAGGACUACCCGCUGAACUUAAGC
rnacentral:misc_RNA from 1 species